CUCCAUGAAGUUGGAUUCGCUAGUAAUCGCGCAUCAGCCAUGGCGCGGUGAAUACGUUCCCGGGCCUUGUACACACCGCCCGUCAAGCCAUGGAAGCUGGGGGUGCCUGAAGUUCGUGACCGGAAGGAGCGACCUAGGGCAAAACCGGUGACUGGGGCUAAGUCGUAACAAGGUACC
rnacentral:rRNA from 1 species